rnacentral:tmRNA from 1 species
GGGGUAGUAAAGGUUUCGACAGGGGCCUUGCAGCUGGAGAAGCUAUCCGUUGCGACACGUUAAUCGCACCAAUUAAACUAAACGCUGAAGAUAAUAAUCAGUUAGCAUUCGCAGCGUAAGCUGUGAGUGACGCCGCCUCAGGCGGCUUGUCCGGUCUGCAGCACCCACACUGCAGAGCCCGGGCAUCGACGAUGUGGGAAACGACGUACACUAAGCUUUGCGUGUACGGGCGUAGCAUGAAGCUACUGAUCCGGCAGGGGAGUCUGUUCGCCUGUCGGUGAGGGAAGGGCAGUUAGCUGAAAGCUAACUGCAGAAUAACAGACUAUGAUAGUAGAAGGACA